rfam:Oryza sativa Japonica Group DNA, chromosome 4, cultivar: Nipponbare, complete sequence.
UUUAAAUGUAACCAUAUAAGUUUCCGUGUCUAAUUUUGAUCGUUCGUCUUAUUUGAAAAUUUUUAUAAUUAGUAUUUUCGUUGUUAUAAAAUGAUAGAACAUGAAUAGUAGUUUAUGCUUGACUUAUGUUUUUUAAUUUAUAAAAAAAAUUUUAAAUAAAAUGGACGAUUAAAGUUGAGCACAGAAAAUUAUGGCUUCACUCGAA